AGUGAACGCUGGCGGUAGGCCUAACACAUGCAAGUCGAACGGCAGCACAGUAAGAGCUUGCUCUUACGGGUGUCGAGUGACGGACGGGUGAGGAAUACAUCGGAAUCUACUUUUUCGUGGGGGAUAACGUAGGGAAACUUACGCUAAUACCGCAUACGACCUACGGGUGAAAGCAGGGGAUCUUCGGACCUUGCGCGAUUGAAUGAGCCGAUGUCGGAUUAGCUAGUUGGCGGGGUAAAGGCCCACCAAGGCGACGAUCCGUAGCUGGUCUGAGAGGAUGAUCAGCCACACUGGAACUGAGACACGGUCCAGACUCCUACGGGAGGCAGCAGUGGGGAAUAUUGGACAAUGGGCGAAAGCCUGAUCCAGCCAUACCGCGUGGGUGAAGAAGGCCUUCGGGUUGUAAAGCCCUUUUGUUGGGAAAGAAAAGCAGCAGGUUAAUACCCCGCUGUUCUGACGGUACCCAAAGAAUAAGCACCGGCUAACUUCGUG
rnacentral:rRNA from 1 species